UACGGGGGGAGCAAGCGUUGUUCGGAUUUACUGGGCGUAAAGGGCGCGUAGGCGGCCACCGCAAGUCAGUUGUGAAAGCUCUGGGCUUAACCCAGAAAGGUCAGCUGAUACUGCGGGGCUAGAGUGCAGAAGGGGCAACUGGAAUUCUCGGUGUAGCGGUGAAAUGCGUAGAUAUCGAGAGGAACACCUGCGGCGAAGGCGGGUUGCUGGGCUGACACUGACGCUGACAGCGCGAAAGCUAGGGGAGCGAACAGG
rnacentral:rRNA from 1 species